rnacentral:rRNA from 1 species
GACGAACGCUGGCGGCGUGCCUAAUACAUGCAAGUAGAACGCUGAAGAGAGGAGCUUGCUCUUCUUGGAUGAGUUGCGAACGGGUGAGUAACGCGUAGGUAACCUGCCUUGUAGCGGGGGAUAACUAUUGGAAACGAUAGCUAAUACCGCAUAACAAUGGAUGACACAUGUCAUUUAUUUGAAAGGGGCAAUUGCUCCACUACAAGAUGGACCUGCGUUGUAUUAGCUAGUAGGUGAGGUAAUGGCUCACCUAGGCGACGAUACAUAGCCUACCUGAGAGGGUGAUCGGCCACACUGGGACUGAGACACGGCCCAGAAUCCUACGGGAGGCAGCAGUAGGGAAGCUUCGGGAAUGGGGGCAACCCUGACCGAGCAACGCCGCGUGAGUGAAGAAGGGUUUCGGAUCGUAAAGAUCUGUUGUAAGUCAAGAACGGGUGUGAGAGUGGAAAGUUCACACUGUGACGGUAGCUGACCAGAAAGGGACGGCUAACUACGUG